rnacentral:rRNA from 1 species
ACGGGGUGCAGCAGGCGCGAAAUCUUCACAAUGUGCGAAAGCACGAUGAGGGGAUCCCAAGUGCUGGCACGUAAGUGUCAGCUGUUUCUUAGUCUAAAAAACUGAGAGAGUAAGGGCUGGGUAAGACGGGUGCCAGCCGCCGCGGUAAUACCUGCAGCUCGAGUGGUGGCCGCUAUUAUUGGGCCUAAAACGUCCGUAGCCUGUUUAGUAAAUGCUUGGGUAAAUUGUGUAGCUUAACUAUACGAAUACCGGGUAGACUGCUAAACUUGGGACCGGGAGAGGCUAGAGGUACUCCUAGGGUAGAGGUGAAAUUCUGUAAUCCUAGGGGGACCACCAGUGGCGAAGGCGUCUAGCUAGAACGGGUCUGACGGUGAGGGACGAAGCCCUGGGGCGCAAACCGGAUUAGAUACCCGGGUAGUCCAGGGUGUAAACGCUGCUUGCUUGAUGUUAGUUGGGCUCCGAGCCCAACUAGUGUCGGAGAGAAGUUGUUAAGCAAGCUGCCUGGAAGUACGUCGCAAGAC